CGUGAGUGAAGAAGGUUUUCGGAUCGUAAAGCUCUGUUGUUAGGGAAGAACAAGUACCGUUCGAAUAGGGCGGUACCUUGACGGUACCUAACCAGAAAGCCACGGCUAACUACGUGCCAGCAGCCGCGGUAAUACGUAGGUGGCAAGCGUUGUCCGGAAUUAUUGGGCGUAAAGGGCUCGCAGGCGGUUUCUUAAGUCUGAUGUGAAAGCCCCCGGCUCAACCGGGGAGGGUCAUUGGAAACUGGGGAACUUGAGUGCAGAAGAGGAGAGUGGAAUUCCACGUGUAGCGGUGAAAUGCGUAGAGAUGUGGAGGAACACCAGUGGCGAAGGCGACUCUCUGGUCUGUAACUGACGCUGAGAAGCGAAAGCGUGGGGAGCGAACAGGAUUAGAUACCCUGGUAGUCCACGCCGUAAACGAUGAGUGCUAAGUGUUAGGGGGUUUCCGCCCCUUAGUGCUGCAGCUAACGCAUUAAGCACUCCGCCUGGGGAGUACGGUCGCAAGACUGGAACUCAAAGGAAUUGACGGGGGCCCGCACAAGCGGUGGAGCAUGUGGUUUAAUUCGAAGCAACGCGAAGAACCUUACCAGGUCUUGACAUCCUUCGACCAUCCUAGAGAUAGGACUUUCCCUUCGGGGACAAAGUGACAGGUGGUGCAUGGUUGUCGUCAGCUCGUGUCGUGAGAUGUUGGGUUAAGUCCCGCAACGAGCGCAACCCUUAUUGUUAGUUGCCAUCAUUUAGUUGGGCACUCUAGCGAGACUGCCGCAGACAAUGCGGAGGAAGGUGGGGAUGACGUCAAAUCAUCAUGCCCCUUAUGACCUGGGCUACACACGUGCUACAAUGGAGAGUACAACGAGUCGCAAAGCCGCAAGGCUAAGCCAAUCUCUUAAAGCUCUUCUCAGUUCGGAUUGUAGGCUGCAACUCACCUACAUGAAGCCGGAAUCGCUAGUAAUCGCGGAUCAGCACGCCGCGGUGAAUACGUUCCCGGGCCUUGUACACACCGC
rnacentral:rRNA from 1 species